rnacentral:lncRNA from 1 species
GUAGAGGACAAUUUCGAAGUCAAAAGGCAUGAAGGGAAGUCCCUUUGGGGUCCCAGCCCCGGCACCCUGGCCGUUGGCCCCUGGACAGCUGUUCACUCCCUUCUCAGGCUUGUUGGGGACACACACGUCAUGCCCUGAAGCGUUCCGGAACCGGUAGGGGCUGCCUGUCCUGCCACUCACCCACUCCAGCUAGGAACUCCUCAGUGGGCAAGAUAAUUGGGCCCAGGUUGAGUUAUGACGUUCACAGGUGAUUUUGAUGGACGCUGACUUUCAGAGCUCAUUGCCCUAAAGACUCCUGGCCUAAGAGUGAGGAAGUCUGAGGAAUCUGGUUUCAGCUCCACUGAUAUCUAACCGCACGUACACCAGGUCCUGCAGAUGACAACCUCUGGUGGAACGGAGUGAUGCUGGAUUCAGUACUCAACACACAAGUGUCAGCUCCUGGGAAGGGCAAAAGCAGCUUCACAGCGACACCAGGGAUGGCAGAGAUGUUCUUCCUCAGCGUUCCCAUGGAGAACACUAGUGUCCUGAGAGAGAAUGCACCUGCUUUGGUGAACACUGACUGUCUCAGCUGUGGCAUGACGACAAGGUCUUUCUACAGGCAAAAGUCAAGCCUGCCUGACAUGCAAAGCACCUUGACCUCUGACCCCAGAGCUCCCCAGGGCCACAUGCCUGCCCAGAGCCAAGGACCAUCUUAUGACUCUGGUAAAAGACUGGGAAAGGCAGGGAAGGUGCCAGGGGCUGGGGAAGUUGGGUCCCUUCUCUCCUCUCCCCCAGGUGACUCUCAGUCCCACCCUAAGUGAUACUAGGGGCUGGGGAAGUUGGGCCCCUUCUCUCCUCUCCCCCAGGUGACUCUCAGUCCCACCCUAAGUGAUACUAUGGGCUGUCACCCUGGGGGCGGGUGGAGCAGCCCUGAGAGCUCCCUGCCCAAUGUCCCUUCAGCCUUAAGUCUUCCUGAUGGCUAAUGCCAGAUGCCACCCCAUUGAUCCUUGCCAGGCCACAGCGUCUCCAUGCCACCAUUCUGUAAACCCAUCUUUCCACCCAUGUGAGAAGUGCCACGUCCUGGUCCCCCAGUCCCGGGCAGCUGCGUGGGCCCUGGGGUUCCCAUGGUGUGGUGCUCCUGCCAGGAGCAGGGGAAAGAUCUUACAGGGGAAUCUAGAAAAGCCCAUUCUGAAUCUGACUACACUUUCAGGCUUGGAGGAAAUGCCAACUGACUCCAGCAGCACAACCUGGAGAACGCGGCUCAGAGAAGACUUGAGAACGUGGCUCAGAGAAGACUUGCAGUGGGUGGGCCCGGCCUCUUCCAGGUGGGGGACUCCCAGGUGAGGCCACUGCUCUGCCCUGGGCCAUCACACUUUGAGAAGGGGACUGGGUGUAGGUAAUGCCCACACUUGGCCAUGAUUCUGCUUCCACAGAGGUCCCAGCUAAAUAGUCUUAAUUAACAAUGUGAUGUUACCUUUAAGGGAUGAAGGUUUAGUGAUUGAGAGAAAUGAGGAAUUCAGGAAUGUGCUUAGCACUGAGCGGUUUCUUAACACAUAUGGUUGGCAAAUCAAGGCACAACUUAAAACCACUCAAUUAAGGUAAUAAAUUAAGCAGUGAAACUAAUUUCUAAAUAUCCCAAAUUUGACACACAUUAUUCCAAAGAUCUCAGACCUCCUCCUGCCAUGGCCUUCCUUUCCUUUGAGCUGCUCAAGCCAUGUAAGUUGCCUCCCCUCUUUCUGUGAUAUCUUCUACCCAUUGGCAACAAAUCCUCUCCAAAGUGUGCAGCAUCUAGCCAUGUCUGAGCUACUGUCAAGGCUCAGCUGUGUGGCCACCACAUGACCUCCUGACCCAUCUUCCUGGUGUUGCCUUGGCCACCCCUACACAUAUGUGUUGAAUGAAAGACUAUUUGAUGAAUUUCUCCCAGUUUUCAUUGGAUCAUGGGUUCACAGUGGGUUUUGUGAAAACCACAUAUCAAUCCCACGCAUGUAAAAUGGGACAGAAUUAUUUCUAAAAAGUGCACAGUUUGGACAGACCACAGAUCGGACAGACCAUAGCUGCUCUGACAUACAGAGCAGAUGAACUCAAUUCUAGUCCUAAAAAUGCAGCAGGGAGCAGCAUUCCGGGGCCCACAUGGGCUGCCUUCCUCCAUCCCACCAAGGCCCUGGCAGGGUGGGAUGGACUCCCUUUGUGGACCAGGCGGAGGCUGCAGGUUCGGGAUUUAAACCUGAACUUAGUGGAGCCCUUUGAGGAUGCCAUUUUGUUAGCCUGAUGGGCAAAGCAGAUGAUGGGAGGGGCCCAGGUGAAGGAUCCCCAACUGCACGCCCCGCCCCCCUGCUGCUGGGCCAGAUCUUUUUUUUUUUUUGAGAUGGAGUUUCGCUCUUGUUCCCCAGGCUGGAGUGCAAUGGCGCGAUCUCGGCUCAUGGCAACCUCUGUCUCCCAGGUUCAAGAGAUUCUCCUGCCUCAGUCUCCCACGUAGCUGGAAUUACAGGCGUCCACCACCAUGCCCGGCUAAUAUUUUGUAUUUUUAGUAGAGACGGGGUUUCACCAUCUUGGCCAGGCUGGUCUUGAACUCCUGACUUCAGGUGAUCCACCUGCCUCGGCCUCCCAGAGUGCUGGGAUUACAGACAUGAGCCACAGCACCCGGCCCGGGCCAGCUCUUACAAAGGCGGUUCAGAACCUACAGGGUUUGUCUUGGCACCAAGACAGGCUGUGAAAGCUGCCCCCAGGUCACGACCCAUCCAGCUGGAGCAGGUCACCGAGACGCACCCCCGCACACAUCCGUCUGCUCUCUGGCCCUGCCACCUCCUGGCACCCACGCUCCCCAGCCCAUGCCCACUUGUACUGCUGGGGUUAAAUCAGGUCGAUUCAGAGCCUUCCUACAAAGCUGCUGCCCACCUACAAAUUUCGUAUUCUAUUAUUUUUGUCAUUGGUCCAGGACCCCAGACAACUCUAGGGAUUUGCAGCUUGUGGUCACAAGCACUGAGUCUGAGGGAAGGGAGCUGCCCAGGGCCACUGGCAGGCCUAGACUGGGUGCCAGGCCUGAGUUCCACAGGAGGGGCCCUGCCAGCUGGCACCCAUGGCCACGAAGCAGCACCCUUACCCGCUGGGCCCCAGGCAGCCCAGGUCCCAACAGUAAGCAUAGGCUUGGCAGCCAGACCCACGAGCAACCAAGGUACCCAGGGCCUGUGCAGGGAGAUGGGCACCUAAAGAGGAACGUUCUGGAGUCCUAGGUGCAAAUGCUGAGCAGUUAGACUGAUUUGGGGCCUCUGAGCACCAGGAAUGGCCUGCAGUCACGGGGAGCUGCAAGGCAAAGCUGAGUUUAGUGCAAACACCAUUGAUCAUGCAAAACAUAAAAUAAAAUCUUACUGGGAAGGAUGUUGGGA